GCAGCGUCAGCCAUCUCUCCUCGGUGACUGUGGACUCCUCAUAUCAAACAUGAAGCUCCCGGGACUUUUGGCUGUGAUUUUAUUCGUCUGUACUGACCGGAGAAGCUCCAGGAUGUCCCACCCAGAGCAUUUCGGCUCACAGCAAAAUGCUUAAAUAAUUACAUGAAUGAAAUUCAACACCAAUGGUUCUUCAUGUGACUGGCAGAGCAGCUCUGGGUCAAAUCGCUGGCUACCCAGGCAAUGAGGCAAGGUCUGAGAAACACGGCCGCUCCUCAAAGUUGUACACCCAGCACUGCAUCAUCAAAUUGUACACCUGGUGUUACAAUGACAAAGAUAUAUUAGUUGACAGAGCAAAGAACUGUUGUUUGCGUUGUAGUAUGACAGUUGCAGCGACUCGUUUGGUGAGUCAAAAUAAGAUGUUUAAAAUAUUUAUUAUGGCCACAGCUGUGAAGAUUGUCCGCCUCUCCCAGAAAUGAAUGGAUGAAUAAAAAAUUUAUUUUGAACAUGUAAAAAUAAUACAAUAAAAGCUAAAAGAACAAAAACAAAAAUAAUAAUUUUAAUGCCUGAAAAAGAAUAGGAAGAAGCAUACAUUUAUUUAAUCCCCUUCUCCACUACUCAUUAUUAAUCUUCACAUAGCUUCAUAUUUAUAUCAUAUUCUAUCUUAACACAUUCUUUACAAUUUGCUACAUAUAUUUAUGUUUUUAUUACACCCACACACCAAAAGAAAAAGAAAAACGUACAUAUUUACAUAUGUGCAUAUCCACCAUAGAAAAUAAAUAUUGUAAAUAAAUAAUCUGUGAGAAGGUCUUUUUCCUCCCUUUAACUUUGUGAAACCAUAUUUUUGCACUGCUCUUUGAACUGGGUUAUGCUUGGGCAUUGCUUUGGCACUGCACUCAAUCCGUUCCACAGCUUCACUCUACAGAAAUACAAAAACCUUUUAAUGUUGUACGUAUACAAAGAUGUUUUAAAUUUACCUCCUCAAAUUAUAUCCCCCAUCUCUAUUAAAUACAAAUUUAGAAAUUGCCAGGGAGUAAGUUGUUAAUUGCUUUACACAUUAUUUGGGCUGUUUGAAAAUGAAGCAGAUCAAUGUUUUUAUUUUAUUUUAAGAAUAGUACAUUUGUGUGAUCUCUAUAAUCACUAUUUUGAAUUUUCCAAUGACUUUUUUGCAAUAUAGAUGGUGAUGAUAGUGUACAUUUACUUUGACUAGUAUUGCCCCUAACAUCUGCACAGUAAUUUAAAUAUGGUAAUACCAGUGAACAGUAAAGAAUGUGGAGUGAUUUGUGGUCCAGAAUGUGUUUCGCCUUCUUAAGUACUGAAAUGCUUAAUGAAAGUUUAUUGUGUACAUGUUUUAUGUGAGAUUUCCAGCUUUUUCUGUCAUCUAUUAUCACACCAAGAAACGUAUUUUCAUUAACUCUUCCAAUGUUCACACCAUCUACCUGUAUCUGUACUUGAUUACUCUUUUUACAAUUACCAAAUAACAUGAUUUUAGUUUUACUUGAGUUUAAUGAUAAUUUGUUUCUGUCAAACCAACUUUUUAAUUUGCACAUUUCUAAAUAAAAGUCUCCAGUGCAAAACUAC